UGGGGAGAAAGAGACUCGGAAGGAGAAGAUUUACAGGUAUUGUUGUCUGGUCUGCUAAAGUUUUCUCUGCUAGGCUUUAAAGAGGAAGAGGUAUCUGAAAGUGAAAGCAUAGGUUCAUAAUAUUCUCAUAAGAUGGCAGUAAGUCAUGUCACUGAAUGUGCAUUUUUGUUUUUUUCUUUCAUGACACUUUAUAAACUGCAAUAUUCAGGA